rnacentral:lncRNA from 1 species
UUGAAAUAAUGUUGCUAAAUUUUAUAUGAUAUAAAUUCCCUUUCAUGUUGGUCUUAAAUUCAUUCAUCAAACCUCAAAACCCUCUCUCACAAUAUUCACACACAUUCUCUCUCUUGCUUCAAGUGAAACUGUGUUUGUCUUGUUUCCUUUUGUGUCUCUCAUUGAAACUUUGAUAUUUCCAAACAGUGUUUCACUAUUUCUUUCUACUAACAAAAAUGUUUGCAGAAACUGGUCUUCUCUUCCCUUAUUUACAGAAUUACUCUCAAGACUUUCAACAACUUGAUGAACAGAAUUACUCUCAAGAAUUUCAACAACUUGAAGAAUAUUGCAUGACUCACAAAUCCAAUGCUUCAAUGGUACCUCUAUUUUUCUCUCUUUCUAUUUCCAAUUUCUUAAGAAUUUUUUUUUUAUUUAUUUAUUUUUAAAAUUUUUACUAUGGUUCUAACUAUUUCUUUGUCCCUUUGAACUGCAUUUGCUUGAUGGGUUUUUACUUAUAUGAAAGAAAUUUUGUUUCUUUGUUUUUGUUUGAUUCUAUGUUCUGUUUUUCUUAUGUGUUUUGAAGAUUUCCUCAUAGUUUUGUCUCAACUAAAUAUUUCUAUAUUUGUACUUUAGUUUUUCAUUUUUCUAAAUUUGGAAACUCUUUUUUUAUCUCAAUUUAUACAUAUCAAUCUAUAUAUAGUGAGUGAUAUUUAAUCAUAAUCAUGUGGAUGGUCACAAUUUAGUUUUUAAUCAUAUUUAUCAUGAUAAUUUCUCUAUGAACAUAUGGUUAAAUUAAGUAAUUAAGUUUAGUUACUUACUCUAAUCUUUCAUUUCUCACUUCAUGAACUUGUUGAUUGAAAAUAUCAAGCUUAAUGAUUAUUUUUUAAUCAUUAAGUAUGAAAGUAUUGAGAAUGUUUCUACUAAGUCAUAUUCAUAGCACAAGUGGAAACAGCUAAGUUAGCUUUAAUUGCUGGAUCUAGAAAAGUGUUACAAAAGGAAAAAGAAAAAAAAGAUUGAUUUAGAUGGAAAGUUUUUUUUUUUUUAAUUUUUUUUUUAAUUUUGUGAUACUUCCGUGUUCUUUAAUUUUUCUUCCAUUUUUAUUUAUUGGUUUUAUUUUAUGGUUAUGAAAUGUGAAUGAACUCUUAGUGGAGUUUGUCUUUUUCUCUCCCACUAAGGGGAGGUUUAUUGAAGAAGGAAAAAGUCAUUUUAUUCCCUUUUUUUUGGUAAUAUUGAAAAUGGUUUAGAUGAAAAGGACUUAUGAAUGCACAAGUUAAUGAUUUUUCUUUUUGGUCUUUUGUCUUGCACUAAAUAUAAUAGUUACAAAAAUGGAAAUCAUGAUAUUUUGCUUCUAUUUUUGUUCUUCAACAAUAUAAGAUAAAAGUAUUAGUGGGUUGGUUUUCAUGUAAUGUUUCUUGGUCUUUUGGUCACUCAAAUUGAAACAAUUCUAAAGACAUGAACUAACUUAAGAUCUUUUGAUGGACUUGAAUUAUUUGCCACAUGUGCGGCUUCUCCAGCCGCACCUUUUAAGUUGGAUUACUUUAAUAGUCGAGUGUAUUAUAUCUCAGCUGUUAGAUUAAUCCAACGGUUGAGGUGUUGUUGGAGAGGCUAGGUUCGAUGUCGCCUAUGCAGUAUAUCCAGCCGCACCUUGAAGUUGGAUUAGUUUAGCAGCAGAGUGUGUAUAUCUCGGUUGUUAGAUUAAACCCAUAAUUGACGCGCGGUUGGAGAGGAUGCAGAAGCAACCGAGGAUCCGGAUUAUAUUUUGAUACCCUUGUUCACUUUUAUGUUCAAGAAUUGUCUUAACCUUGGUUUGACUAUUAUGUUUGUAGAAAAAUUUCAAUGUUUUGUCUAUUCAUAAAAAGAAAAAGUUUGCACGUACAGUCUCUCCGGCUGCACUAAAAAGUUGGAUUAAUUGAACGGCCGAAUAUAUUAUAUCUCAGCCGUUAGAUUAAUCCAACAGUUGAGGUGCGGUUGGAAAGUCUGUACUGAAUUAUGAUGUCUGAUUGCAGUUUCAAUGUUUCAGCCAUCAACUUGGUGGGCUCUUUCAAAGUCAGCUUUUUUGGGUGAAGCAUGGGCNN